rnacentral:rRNA from 1 species
AUUGAACGCUGGCGGCAGGCUUAACACAUGCAAGUCGAGCGGGGUGAUGGUGCUUGCACUAUCACUUAGCGGCGGACGGGUGAGUAAUGCUUAGGAAUCUGCCUAUUAGUGGGGGACAACAUUUCGAAAGGAAUGCUAAUACCGCAUACGUCCUACGGGAGAAAGCAGGGGAUCUUCGGACCUUGCGCUAAUAGAUGAGCCUAAGUCGGAUUAGUUAGUUGGUGGGGUAAAGGCCUACCAAGGCGACGAUCUGUAGCGGGUCUGAGAGGAUGAUCCGCCACACUGGGACUGAGACACGGCCCAGACUCCUACGGGAGGCAGCAGUGGGGAAUAUUGGACAAUGGGCGGAAGCCUGAUCCAGCCAUGCCGCGUGUGUGAAGAAGGCCUUAUGGUUGUAAAGCACUUUCAGUAGGGAGGAAGAGUUGAGUGUUAAUAGUACUCAGCUUUGACGUUACCUACAGAAGAAGCACCGGCUAACUCUGUGCCAGCCGCCGCUGUAAAAC